CGCGUAGGCGGUGAUGUAAGUCAGACGUGAAAUCCUUCGGCUCAACUGAAGAACUGCGUCUGAAACUGCAUGACUAGAGUGCAGAAGAGGGAAACGGAAUUCCAGGUGUAGAGGUGAAAUUCGUAGAUAUCUGGAGGAACACCGGUGGCGAAGGCGGUUUCCUGGUCUGACACUGACGCUGAGGCGCGAAAGCGUGGGGAGCAAACAGGAUUAGAUACCCUGGUAGUCCACGCCGUAAACGGUGGGUACUGGGUGUGGGAGGUGUAAUGCCUUCUGUGCCGAAGCUAACGCGUUAAGUACCCCGCCUGGGGAGUACGGCCGCAAGGUUGAA
rnacentral:rRNA from 1 species